UACGAAGGGGACUAGCGUUGUUCGGAAUCACUGGGCGUAAAGCGCACGUAGGCGGAUGUGUCAGUCAGGGGUGAAAUCCCGGGGCUCAACCUCGGAACUGCCUUUGAUACAGCACGUCUCGAGUCCGGAAGAGGUGGGUGGAAUUCCUAGUGUAGAGGUGAAAUUCGUAGAUAUUCGGAAGAACACCAGUGGCGAAGGCGACUCACUGGACAUGUAUUGACGCUGAGGUACGAAAGCGUGGGGAGCAAACAGG
rnacentral:rRNA from 1 species